rnacentral:rRNA from 1 species
AACGUCUCAGUUCGGAUUGUAGUCUGCAACUCGACUACAUGAAGCUGGAAUCGCUAGUAAUCGCGAAUCAGCAUGUCGCGGUGAAUACGUUCCCGGGUCUUGUACACACCGCCCGUCACACCAUGGGAGUCAGUAACGCCCGAAGUCAGUGACCCAACCGAGAGGAGGGAGCUGCCGAAGGCGGGACGGAUAACUGGGGUGAAGUCGUAACAAGGUAAC